rnacentral:rRNA from 1 species
GAUGAACGCUAGCGGCAGGCUUAAUACAUGCAAGUCGAGGGGCAGCACAGGUAGCAAUACUGGGUGGCGACCGGCAAACGGGUGCGGAACACGUACACAACUUACCUUCUGGUGGGGGAUAGCCUUUGGAAACGGAGAUUAAUACCCCAUAUUAUAUAUGUGCUGCAUGGUUUGUUUAUUAAUGAUUUAUUGCCGGAAGAUGGGUGUGCGUAAGAUUAGGUAGUUGGCGGGGUAACGGCCCACCAAGCCGACGAUCAUUAACUGGUGUGAGAGCACGGCCAGUCACACGGGCAGUGUGACACGGGCCCGACUCCUACGGGAGGCAGCAGUAAGGAAUAUUGGUCUAUGGACGGAAGUCUGAACCAGCCAUGCCGCGUGGAGGAUGAAGGUCCUCUGGAUUGUAAACUUCUUUUAUAGGGGGCGAAAAAAGGGAAUUCUUUCUCGUCUGACGGUACCCUAUGAAUAAGCACCGGCUAACUCCGUGCCAGCCGCCGCGGUAAGAC